rnacentral:rRNA from 2 species
GAACGCUGGCGGCGUGCCUAAUACAUGCAAGUCGAGCGAACAGACGAGGAGCUUGCUCCUCUGAUGUUAGCGGCGGACGGGUGAGUAACACGUGGAUAACCUACCUAUAAGACUGGGAUAACUUCGGGAAACCGGAGCUAAUACCGGAUAACAUGUUGAACCGCAUGGUUCAACAGUGAAAGACGGUCUUGCUGUCACUUAUAGAUGGAUCCGCGCCGCAUUAGCUAGUUGGUAAGGUAACGGCUUACCAAGGCAACGAUGCGUAGCCGACCUGAGAGGGUGAUCGGCCACACUGGAACUGAGACACGGUCCAGACUCCUACGGGAGGCAGCAGUAGGGAAUCUUCCGCAAUGGGCGAAAGCCUGACGGAGCAACGCCGCGUGAGUGAAGAAGGUCUUCGGAUCGUAAAACUCUGUUAUUAGGGAAGAACAAAUGUGUAAGUAACUAUGCACGUCUUGACGGUACCUAAUCAGAAAGCCACGGCUAACUACGUGCCAGCAGCCGCGGUAAUACGUAGGUGGCAAGCGUUAUCCGGAAUUAUUGGGCGUAAAGCGCGCGUAGGCGGUUUUUUAAGUCUGAUGUGAAAGCCCACGGCUCAACCGUGGAGGGUCAUUGGAAACUGGAAAACUUGAGUGCAGAAGAGGAAAGUGGAAUUCCAUGUGUAGCGGUGAAAUGCGCAGAGAUAUGGAGGAACACCAGUGGCGAAGGCGACUUUCUGGUCUGUAACUGACGCUGAUGUGCGAAAGCGUGGGGAUCAAACAGGAUUAGAUACCCUGGUAGUCCACGCCGUAAACGAUGAGUGCUAAGUGUUAGGGGGUUUCCGCCCCUUAGUGCUGCAGCUAACGCAUUAAGCACUCCGC